rnacentral:tRNA from 8 species
AGGGCUUUAUCUUAAUUAAAGGGCCUGAGUUGCAUUCAGGAGAUGUAGAUUAAUAUUCUGCAAGUCCUA